GGCGCGCAUCUCGGCGGCCCCGGGCGCCUCGGAGAGUCGCCAAGGCGCUCCACCUGCGCUCUCCGCGUCGCGGGUGAUGCCUAGUGGGGCCGAGCUGCUUUCGCGCCCUCCGCAGGGAGACGCAUCUCGUUGGACCCGCGAGCCCGCACACCAACUUCUGCCCGCCCAGCGAGCUCAACUUCUGCGCGGGGCUCGGACUUGCGGAGCCGGAGUGGCGCGCGGCGCGCAGUCGGCGUGGCGGCUGGAGCAGCUCCGCCCGGCGGAGGUGACCUGGCGACUGUGGCUCUGGUGUGGCUCUGGUGAGCUUGGGUGGCCGCCGGCUGGCCGCCAGGCAGAGCCCUUCAUCUCCGUCCGGGCAUGCCAAAUGUUUGCGAAGAACAGCAGCUGACUGUGGUGGGGCUACCACACCCGUGUGUCCAAGCAUUCACACUCACCAUCAAGAUCUGGAAACAGCUGCAGUGGCCCAUGGUGGUGUGUGAGUUAUGAAAGAAGGACCCGGUACCACACCAUCUACAGACAGUCAUACAGCAUGGAGCGGCAGACCAUCUACAGGCGCUGCCCUGGUUGGAGCUGGCAGGACAAUGAACCUGGCUGUCUAUGCU